rnacentral:rRNA from 1 species
GACGAACGCUGGCGGCGUGCUUAACACAUGCAAGUCGAACGGAAAGGCCCUGCUUUUGUGGGGUGCUCGAGUGGCGAACGGGUGAGUAACACGUGAGUAACCUGCCCUUGACUUUGGGAUAACUUCAGGAAACUGGGGCUAAUACCGGAUAGGAGCUCCUGCUGCAUGGCGGGGGUUGGAAAGUUUCGGCGGUUGGGGAUGGACUCGCGGCUUAUCAGCUUGUUGGUGGGGUAGUGGCUUACCAAGGCUUUGACGGGUAGCCGGCCUGAGAGGGUGACCGGCGACAUUGGGACUGAGAUACGGCCCAGACUCCUACGGGAGGCAGCAGUGGGGAAUAUUGCACAAUGGGCGGAAGCCUGACGCAGCAACGCCGCGUGCGGGAUGACGGCCUUCGGGUUGUAAACCGCUUUCGCCUGUGACAAAGCGUGAGUGACGGUAAUGGGUAAAGAAGCACCGGCUAACUACGUG